rnacentral:rRNA from 1 species
GACGAACGCUGGCGGCGUGCCUAAUACAUGCAAGUAGGACGCAGUUGCGAACGGGUGAGUAACGCGUAGGUAACUACCUAUUAGAGGGGGAUAAAUAUUGGAAACGAUAGCUAAUACCGCAUACUAGUAGGUGGACCUGCGUUGUAUUAGGUAGUAGGUAGGGUAAUGGCCUACCUAGGCAACGAUAGAUAGCCGACCUGGGGGGGGGAUCGGCCAAAACGGGACUUGGAAACGGCCCAAACUCCUAAGGGAGGCAACAGUAGGGAAACUUCGGCAAUGGGGGGAACGCUGACCGAGCAAUGCCGCGUGAGGGAAUAGGGUUUUCGGAUCGUAAAGCUCUGUUGUUAAGGAAGCGGUACUUAACCAGAAAGGGACGGCUAACUACGUGCCAGCAGCCGCGGUAAUAC